UCCAAUCGAACCCGGAGAUAGCUGGUUCUCCCCGAAAUAGCUUUAGGGCUAGCGUUGUAUAUCAUUACCGGAGGUAAAGCACUGAAUGGCCUAGGGCCCUAACGGGUACCGAAGCCUAUCAAACUAAGAAUGCCGGAUAAUGUGAGUACAGCAGUCAGACUAUGGGAGAUAAGUUUCAUGGUCAAAAGGGAAACAGCCCAGACCCACAGCUAAGGUCCCAAAUAUGAUUUAAGUGGAAAACGAUGUGGAGUUGCGAAAACAACCAGGAUGUUGGCUUAGAAGCAGCCACUCAUUCAAAGAGUGCGUAAUAGCUCACUGGUCGAGUGACUCUGCGCGGAAAAUUCAACGGGGCUAAAAUCAUAACCGAAGCUUGGGAUGCAAUUAAUGCAUGGUAGGGGAGCGUUGUGUAAGGGGCGAAGUCACAGCGAAAGCGGUGGUGGACAUUACACAAGUGAGAAUGCCGGAAUGAGUAGCGCGAAUUAUGUGAGAAUCAUAAUGGCCGAAAGUCUAAGGUUUUUGGAGGAAGGUUCGUCCGCUCCAAGUUAGUCGGGAGCUAAGGUGAGGCCGAAAGGCGUAGCCGAUGCACAUACGGUAGAAAUUCCGUAACCGUCGAAGUAUUUAAGCAAAGGGACACUUUGGGAAGGUACAAGCCAGGCGUUGGUAGCCCUGGCCGUAAGGGACUGAAAAUUAGUAGGGAAGUGUACUGGAACAGAGGCGAGAAAAGCUUUGUGUAUAUACAAGACGCCCGUACCGCAAACCGACACAGGUAGAUGGGAAGAAAAUUCUAAGGCCAACGGGAGAAGGGUUGUUAAGGAACUCGGCAAGUUGACCCCGUAACUUCGGAAGAAGGGGUGCUCUGGAAACAGAGCCGCAGAGAAUAGGUCCAGGCGACUGUUUAGCAAAAACACAGCUCUAUGCUAAAUCGAAAGAUGACGUAUAUGGGGUGACACCUGCCCGGUGCUGGAAGGUUAAGAGGAGAUGUGCAAGCAUUGAAUCGAAGCCCCAGUAAACGGCGGCCGUAACUAUAACGGUCCUAAGGUAGCGAAAUUCCUUGUCAGGUAAGUUCUGACCCGCACGAAUGGUGUAACGAUCUGGGCACUGUCUCAACAACCCGCCCGGCGAAAUUGUAGUACCGGUGAAGAUGCCGGUUACCCGCGACAAGAC
rnacentral:rRNA from 1 species